UGGGGCUUACGUCCGAUAGUGGUGAUUUUCUUACUAUUGCUCAAAACGCGAUAUUGGCAGAUGUUAGUGAUGUCAGAACAAUUAUUCAUUUCAAAUUUUCGAUGAUUGACUAUCGCCGUUGAACAUUUCUCAUCAAAAUAUCAUAGCCCAAACUUGUGCACCAAAUUGACAAUUAGUGUUAUCAUGAGUCACCAGGUGAAAAGGUCUGAGAAUGAAACUUUCAAGACAGCAGAGCGUAGCAGACGUUCUCGGGCCAAAGUCCCUCGUUGGAAAGCAUUGCGACUAGCUAUAUAUGAUCCAUCGACAAAAAAAUUUCUAGGAAGAACAAAAUCUAGCUGGGGUGUUGUCGGUCUUUUCUACUUGGUCUUCUUCACCGUGCUAGUAAUACUCUGUGCGAUUUGCUACAAAGGAUUGAUGCUAUCGAUUGAUUUGAAACAACCAACAUACAUAUUAGAAGAUAGUCUCAUUGGUACAAGCCCUGGCCUUGGUUUUCGUCCGAUUUCGGAUGAUAUAAAUCAGGGAUCUUUGGUCUGGUACAACACGAGUAAUUCAAGUGACGUCAAAACAUGGAAGAAGAGAAUUGACAAAUUUCUGGAUGUGUACGUAAAUAGUUCGCUGUUACCAACACGAGGUAAAAACCAGAGAUUCUGUACCAAUAUCCAACCAGUUUCGGUAAAAACUGUGUGCGCUUUUGACGUUACCGGUUGGGGUGACUGCUCCCCGGGUGGUAACUAUGGUUAUGACAAUUCAACGCCAUGUUUCUUUAUCAAGUUGAACAAGAUAUAUGGAUGGGUACCGUCUUAUUACAAUGGAAAUAAACCUUUACCCCUGGACAUGCCACCGAAUAUCAGGGAUAAGAUAAAAUCAACUAAUUUUUCAAAUCUCAAUGUGGUGUGGGUUUCUUGUCAAGGUCAAAAUCCAGCUGACCGUGAAAUGAUAGGCGAUAUUAAAUACUACCCGACACACCAUGGAUUUCUUGGUUAUUACUUUCCUUUUACCAAUACGCCUGGUUACCUCAGUCCUCUAGUAGCCGUGCAAUUUUCCAGCUCCAAAAGUAAAAAAUGUUAUUAUCAAUGUUGAAUGUCGAGCAUGGGCUGAAAACAUCCGAUAUAGUGGCCGUACUCAAAAUCGAGAAGGAUCUGUACAUUUCGCAUUUAUGAUUGAUAUUUGAGAAACAAAGUACACUGUUUCGGCUUGUGCAUCGCGACAUCCUGAAUGCCCCAUCUACACACUUACUUUCCUAUGACUUGAUCCUAAACGUAGUGAAAAAUAUUGUAUCGAAAUAUAAGUAUAUAUGUUAUUCCAGUCAGAGUUCAUUUAUACUAAUCAUUUAUUAUAUUCGAAUGUAGCGAAUAAUAAAAAACUAUCCUUCUGAAGAUGUGAGUCGGACAGUGUUUGCAAACAUUUGACG
rnacentral:misc_RNA from 1 species